CGGGUAGCUAUGUACGGAACGGAUAAGCGCUGAAAGCAUCUAAGUGCGAAGCCGGCCCCAAGAUGAGACUUCCCACCCCGAGAGGGGGUAAGGCCGCAGAGAGACUAUCUGCUUGAUAGGCCGCAAGUGUAAGCGCAGCAAUGCGUUCAGCUGAGCGGUACUAAUCGGCCGAGGACUUGACCAU
rnacentral:rRNA from 1 species